UACGUAGGAGGCAAGCGUUGUCCGGAAUUAUUGGGCGUAAAGAGCUCGUAGGCGGUUUGUCGCGUCUGCCGUGAAAGUCCGGGGCUCAACUCCGGAUCUGCGGUGGGUACGGGCAGACUAGAGUGAUGUAGGGGAGACUGGAAUUCCUGGUGUAGCGGUGAAAUGCGCAGAUAUCAGGAGGAACACCGGUGGCGAAGGCGGGUCUCUGGGCCGAUAUUGACGCUGAGGAGCGAAAGCGUGGGGGAGCGAACAGG
rnacentral:rRNA from 1 species